GUUGAACGCUGGCGGCGUGCCUAAUACAUGCAAGUCGAGCGAACAGUCGAGGAGCUUGCUCCUCUGACGUUAGCGGCGGACGUGUGAGUAACACGUGGAUAACCUACCUAUAAGACUGGGAUAACUUCGGGAAACCGGAGCUAAUACCGGAUAAUAUAUUGAACCGCAUGGUUCAAUAGUGAAAGACGGUUUUGCUUUCUCUUAUAGAUGGAUCCGCGCCGCAUUAGCUAGUUGGUAAGGUAACGGCUUACCAAGGCAACGAUGCGUAGCCGACCUGAGAGGGUGAUCGGCCACACUGGAACUGAGACACGGUCCAGACUCCUACGGGAGGCAGCAGUAGGGAAUCUUCCGCAAUGGGCGAAAGCCUGACGGAGCAACGCCGCGUGAGUGAUGAAGGUCUUCGGAUCGUAAAACUCUGUUAUUAGGGAAGAACAAAUGUGUAAGUAACUAUGCACGUCUUGAAGGUACCUAAUCAGAAAGCCACGGCUAACAACGUG
rnacentral:rRNA from 1 species